rnacentral:lncRNA from 1 species
GAAAAAGGACGAAUUUACCCCCGAACUUUGAUAAAUGGUACGUCUAUGCCCUCCGUUAUACUUUGCGUCCACAUAAGCCCCUGCCGUCCAAUUUUCGGUACACACAUGCCCCUCUCACUAACGGACCCCUCGUUUUGUACACGUGUUUUAAUCCUAAUCAACUACCCGUUUGACCAUUCUUUUAACCCAUAAACCCACAACCCGCCC